rnacentral:lncRNA from 1 species
AUGUGCUUUCAGAUCUCUACUAUCACUACUAACACUCGGAGAGCACGCUAUGUACGUCGCAGGAAGGCCUGUCUGACAAACCUACGCCAUGUCCCUCUGACCUCUACUACUAUGCUCUCUAUUCCAGUUGGUCUCUGGAACUGCCAGUCUGCAGUUAACAAAGCAGACUUCAUUUCCUCUAUUGCUACCCAUUCCGGUCUCAACCUCAUGGCACUGACAGAGACUUGGAUCAAACCUGAAGAUACUGCCACCCCUGCAGCCCUCUCUACUAAUUUCACUUGUUCCCACACUCCUCGUACCACUGGGAGGGGUGGAGGUACGGGUCUCCUUAUAUCCAAAGAAUGGAAAUUUGAACUUCAGCCAUCACCUACAGGUACUGGUUCAUUUGAAUCACAUGCCAUUACUGUAACCCACCCUGUUAAAAUCCACUUUGUGGUCAUUUAUCGUCCUCCAGGUCAAAUGGGAAACUUCUUGGAGGAGUUGGAUGUGCUGCUAUCAAACUUUCCUGAAGAUGGUACUCCUCUGGUACUGCUUGGUGACUUCAACAUCCACUUAGAUAAACCCCAGGCAGCUGACUUCAAAACUCUGCUCACCUCAUUUGAUCUCAAGCUAGUGUCCACUACAGCGACUCACAAAUCGGGCAACCAACUUGACCUCAUCUACACGCGCGGUUGCUCUGUGGACACCUCUUCAGUUGCUCCACUGCACACCUCUGAUCACUUCCUCAUUACUGCUAACCUAGCACUUACUCCUGAAGUGGCACACACUCCAACGCAGGUCACCUUUCGACGGAACCUACGCUCACUCUCUCCAUCUCGCCUAUCUGCUGUGGUUUCAUCCUCUCUUCCACCAUUCUCUCAGUUUUCUGCUUUGGACACGAACAGUGCUACAGACACUCUUUGCUCCACUUUAACAUCUUGCUUGGACAACUUUUGCCCACUGUUGUCUAGACCAGCACGCACUGCCCCAUCUGCCCCCUGGCUGUCCGAGGUUCUCCGUGAACAUCGCUCUAAACUCAGGGCUGCAGAGAGGAAAUGGCAGAAAUAA